UGUCCACUCGUAUGCCUUCCCAUCCUACGUAACUCUUUAACAAUGGUCACCUCCCUCUUACAAAUCUCCACCAAACCUUCCUCCUUCACUUGCCGUAAGUCCCCUUUCCUCCGCAGAGCCUCCCAUUCCCCUUUCCACUUCUACCAGUUGAAUAUCGUUCUCCCCGCUGAAUUCAACACAAGUGAUCAGCGCCACCACCAUCCAACAAAUUUCUGCGCGUAACCCAGACAAUUCGACAUACAAAUGAGGAUUCAUGGUGGAGAUAGAAUGUGAAUAUUGUUGAGCAUAACUUCAGUUUAUGUUCUAUGCGGCAAAGCCAAUCCAACAAAUGAUGAAUAUGUUACUAUACAUAUAUUGGAGGUAAUUAGUUUAUACAAUUAGAAUCUAUAUGACAUUCAUUAAUCACUAACCUACCGGAUGAUCAGAGUAAACUUAAAGAGGAGGAUAUGAAAAAUGCUUGGACAUGAAUUGGAAGUUAAAUUAGCUAAUUAAUGACACUUGGAUUUCGGUCUCAGAUUUCUCUAUCUUGGUACUUGUCUGGGGGAAUUUGAUGGGUGGGUCAGUUUGCUAGGGUGAAAACUGAUAUUGCAAGGUGAAAUUCGGGACUUCGUACAAUGCGAGAGAGCUAUGGUAGAAUCAAAUUUAAAAGAAAGAAGCAACUUAACCACUAAGACAAGAAGGAAUAAUAAAUAGGAUUUGGCAUGUAAGCUUUUAAAUACAUGGGAUACCGGAAAUUGUUCAAUACUGAAUAAUUCCUCCUGCACUUCAGUGUAUAUGGUAGUAAUGCUUAGAAAUUUACUGGGGAUUCCUUCAAGAGUUGGUGUGGUUUUUUGAUUUCCUGAUGUGCAGAUAUGUUUUAAUACUUGACUCAUCUAAAAAAAUUACUUCUUCUAUACUAUGAAGUUCAGUUGUGUUUCUGACGAAUAGGUAUGUAGUUGUCUAUUAGCAAACAACAACUUUGAAUUGAUUCAUGUCAAUUGAAGAUAGUCAGAGCUCCGAGCGGCGAUACCAGUACCUCUUCAAAUACUACAAAGAAUGUGAAACCAAUAGAAGAUUAACCUGUGCUGCUUGAUAUUGAUAAUGGUAGUAGAUAUUAUAGCGCUGAUGAGGCCAGCCGUGAUAAAAAAGAUUGAUGUGGUCCCUUGAUUCGCAUGAAAAGGAAUGGUUCAAUAUAUGCAACUUGUUGUUACUUCAUCUUCCACAAAGGCGGUGUGGUUUCUUUUUGUACCUCACUUUUGGACGAGUCGUCUUCUAUCAAACUAAAAGAUGCUGGAGAGUAAACAAGAAACAAAGUGAGCCAAGGGAAAACACUUCAUGGGGAAGACUCAUCUUCCAAAUCCGGUAUUCUUCCAUGGUAUGUCAUACAUAUGCAUAUUAGGAUGACAUAGUUAAUACACCUUUGAAGUUGCUACAGCAAUUAGAAAAUACGCUUACUCAUACACAUUUGGAGUCGCUGCAACAAUUACAAGAUACCCUUACUAUAAAGGGUGUACAAAGCCUAAACAGUAAAGGGAUAAUGAAUGAUCAAAGGGUAAAAUUAAUGAGGAUCAGAAGCAAAUAUUGUAACAAGCGGCUGAAGAAAAAGAAUGAGAGUUGGUGUUUCUGUUUGUUUGCGCUUUUAUUGUCUUGGUAUCGAAUGGAUUUUGACAGCCGAAAGCAUGUUAAUUUGUUAUAACAAAUUGUCCAAGUUGACAAGUGAUUCGACACCCCCGUAGUUAGGGACUUGUACAUUGUGGGAGUGUGGUGGUAGGCUCAAAAUUGAGCUAAGUGAGAGAAACAUUAUAAACUUAAAAAGCCAAGGAAAUAGAGGUGGGCAUUUAAGCUUGGUGCAUUGCAUGUAAAACUCGAUUGUAUUAAUCAGCUAUAUGCUAAUGUUGAAUCAAUAAUAUGAUAUGUUUAGUAACAGUGAUUUACCAAUGAAUUGGAUGAU